rnacentral:rRNA from 1 species
GCUAGGUGGUGGCGGGCGGCGGCGUUAAUAGGAUGGGGGGAGGGGUGGGUUGGAGUUACGGGGCGGAAGUGGGGCGUGGGCGGCCCUGUUUGGAGAGGGUGAAAGCCCCGGGCUCAACCGGGGAAUGGCGGGGGAGGCGGCGGGGCGGGAGUUCGGGAGAGGAGCGUGGAAUUCCCAGUGUAGAGGUGAAAUUCGUAGAUAUUGGGAAGAACACCGGUGGCGAAGGCGGCGCUCUGGACCGAGACUGACGCUGAGGCGCGAAAGCGUGGGGAGCAAACAGGAUUAGAUACCCUAGUAGUC